AUUGAACGCUGGCGGCAUGCCUUACACAUGCAAGUCGAACGGUAACAGGUCUUCGGAUGCUGACGAGUGGCGAACGGGUGAGUAAUACAUCGGAACGUGCCUAGUAGUGGGGGAUAACUACUCGAAAGAGUGGCUAAUACCGCAUGAGAUCUACGGAUGAAAGCAGGGGAUCGCAAGACCUUGUGCUACUAGAGCGGCCGAUGGCAGAUUAGGUAGUUGGUGGGAUAAAAGCUUACCAAGCCGACGAUCUGUAGCUGGUCUGAGAGGACGAUCACCCACACUGGGACUGAGACACGGCCCAGACUCCUACGGGAGGCAGCAGUGGGGAAUUUUGGACAAUGGGCGCAAGCCCGAUCCAGCAAUGCCGCGUGCAGAAUGAAGGCCUUCGGGUUGUAAACUGCUUUUGUACGGAACGAAAAGCCCUGGGUUAAUACCCUGGGGUCAUGACGGUACCGUAAGAAUAAGCACCGGCUAACUACGUGCCAGCAGCCGCCGUAA
rnacentral:rRNA from 1 species